AUGAUCCACUUCACUACAAUAAUAAUUUGAUAAAAAAAUGUAUUUCAUAAUCUACAAUGCCUAAGGAAAAUAGAUUUUAGUUAUCGAUCAGUCUUUAACAGAAUUACACGUAAAUAGUGGCGGCAGAAUUAUACAGAAAAAUUAUAUUGUGAGUUUGUGAGUAAACGAAAUUUAUCAUAAUGAAAUAUAAUGAACUCGGUACUACGGGAAUCAAGGUCUCCCAUAUCAGUUUAGGAGGAGCGGCAUUCGCCAAUAUAUAUGGAACCUAUGAUGAAAACAGAAGCUUGCAAUUAAUUAAGGAGUCUCUCAAACGUGGUAUAAACUAUGUGGAAACUGGCCCAUGGUAUGGUCAAGGUAGUUCUGAGCGGACUUUUGGAAAGGCGCUCCAAGGUGUCCCCAGAGAGACAUAUUUCAUUGGCAGUAAAGUUGGACGAUAUGAAAAGGAGACCGAUAAAAUGUUCGACUUUAGUGCCGAGAAAACAGAAGCGAGUGUGGACAACACGCUGAAUCUGCUUGGAUUGGAUUACGUCGACUUAAUUCAGGUUCACGAUCCGACAUUUGCUCCAGAUACUUCGAUAAUAUUGAAGGAAACAUUGCCAGCAUUGGAAAAAGCCGUAAGAGAUGGCAAAGCUAGAUAUAUAGGUAUAGCUGAUUACGAUAUCGAUCUAAUGCAAAUGAUAGUUGAGGAAUCCGACGUGAAUAUAUCUACAGUGCUGUCGUAUGCGAAGUCGACGCUGAUAGACAAUCGGCUACAGAAUUACACUAAAUACUUUAAGAGCAAAGGAGUGGGAGUAAUCAAUGCUGCAGCAACUGGCAUGGGGUUACUUUCCAAUAAAGGACCCCAACCGUGGCAUCCAGCCAAUGAUGACAUUAAAGCUGUCUGCAAAAAAGCAUCAGAUUACUGUAAGGCACAGAAUGUGGAAUUAGCACGCAUUGCGACUUGGUACUCUCUCAAUCAACCAGAUAUUGACACUAACAUUUGCGGUUUCUUCAAUGUGGAACAACUGGUCGACAGUAUAGAAGUAUUGGACGGCGGAUUGACUGAUCUCGAGAAGAAAGUGUUGGCCGAAUUGCAAGUUAGCUGGCCUUUACAGCUCACCGGACGAUAGAGGGCGAGUGCAGAUGUUCAAAGUUCAUGUGGAAGGACUUAUGGAGCGGAUGAAGUCAACUCCCGCCUGACGGAUACGACUUUAGUCUGAGGGCACCACUAGGAGUUCGAACCUCGGCUCAGAUUCUUCGACAAAGUUACGUUCCACUGGGACGGAGUGGAGCUGCCAGUAUACAGAGCUAAACUCAAGGAAA